GUGAGGAAUAUUGCGCAAUGGAGGCAACUCUGACGCAGCCAUGCCGCGUGCAGGAAGAAGGCGCUACGCGUUGUAAACUGCUUUUAACCGGGAAGAAACCCCAGGACGUGUCCUGGGUUGACGGUACCGGAGGAAUAAGCACCGGCUCACUUCGUGCCAGCAGCCGCGGUAAUACGAAGGGUGCAAGCGUUAUCCGGAUUCAUUGGGUUUAAAGGGUGCGUAGGCGGAGCGUUAAGUCAGUGGUGAAAUCCUGCAGCUUAACUGUAGACUUGCCAUUGGUGCUGGCGCGCUUGAGUGCGCUUGAAGUGGGCGGAAUGUGCCGUGUAGCGGUGAAAUGCUUAGAUAUGGCACAGAACACCAAUUGCGAAGGCAGCUCACUAAGGCGAUACUGACGCUGAGGCACGAAAGCGUGGGGAUCGAACAGGAUUAGAAACCCUUGUAGUCC
rnacentral:rRNA from 1 species